CGUGGCUCUGACCGGUGCUAAAGG
rnacentral:miRNA from 1 species